CAGUAGCCGCGGUAAUACGUAGGUGGCAAGCGUUGUCCGGAAUUAUUGGGCGUAAAGGGCUCGCAGGCGGUUUCUUAAGUCUGAUGUGAAAGCCCCCGGCUCAACCGGGGAGGGUCAUUGGAAACUGGGAAACCUGAGUGCAGAAGAGGAGAGUGGAAUUCCACGUGUAGCGGUGAAAUGCGUAGAGAUGUGGAGGAACACCAGUGGCGAAGGCGACUCUCUGGUCUGUAACUGACGCUGAGGAGCGAAAGCGUGGGGAGCGAACAGGAUUAGAUACCCGCGUAGUCCCUGUCUCUUAUAC
rnacentral:rRNA from 1 species